rnacentral:lncRNA from 1 species
AGUGAGGUUAUUGUAGUUUGACUACAUGUAUACAUGGUCUCUAGUCAUAUGGGUCCUUGUAGUGUAGAUUGGCUGCAGUAAGUUCACUGUAGGAGUAGGGUAUGCACUUACAUGAAAUCUAUCGACCUUGAUAGAAGAGGAGUGAUCCUAUGUGAUUUGUUAGACUGAGUUCUAAGACCUUGGCCAGGGCAGUAAUAUAAAGUGGAGAAAGAGUUUUUCACUAUCGAACUCGA